AUCUGUUAAUGGCUUCUCCUUUUGCCUGCUGCCCAGGAGCUUUUCACUCUUCUGCUGCUCUCUGACUGGUAUCUUUCCACGAGGCUUCAGUGUGUGAGAUCCACUUUUAGGCACCAGAACGCCCAGACACAUGCAAGAAAUAAGUGUGUGCUUCUCUCCCACGUCACUCUGCUUCUGACACUUGUCAUGACGGGGAGGACUUAAUGUUGGAAGUUGGAAAAAAAACCCCAAAACACAGCCCAGUAGCAGGGAAACACAGAGAGGAGAAUCAAGCAUCAUCAUCCAUCCUUGCAGCUUGCAGAGGUCUUGCAGUAUCCACAGCAGACUGAAGAGUGAGGAUGAAGAUUUCAGAGAGCUAUGACAUGCCAAACCAGGAGUAACAACUUCUGGACCCGCUGCCUUCCAUGACUGGUUCAAAUCUUGUUCAGACCAAAUGUAUGACUCUGAUGGAUUGAGUUGAAUCUGCUGCUCUCAUUCAUAC